UUGGCGGAGUCUCCCGGGCGGGUGGGUGCAUAGAGGGCGAGCCGGGCGGGUGGGCAGUCACAGAGAGGAAACCGGUAAUGUUUCCCCUCUGCCCGUGUGGGAUUUGGGAGGGCAACCCAAGUCCUAGACUUGGCUACAAUCUUAAUCUCUGUAGGGGAUCCAGACAUCCAGAAGAAGAAGCCCAACUUCACCCACCGGCCAUGACCUUCACCAUCAAUCGAGCCCCUUUCGGGCACAAUGGCUGAAGCGGAGGUCUUGCCUCCUCACCGUCAGAAGAACCUUCAUGUGUAGCUCCAAGGCCAAACUCCCAAAGGCAAAGAUAGACACUGUGCUGUCCUUUUGGUUGAGCCAUAGGUAGCUCAAGCUGUGUCUGGGCGGGAUCAUCCAUUGGUGGUCCUGCCCCAACACAGAUUGACCAAGGCCCACUGUUUAACCUGGCUGUGCAGGCCUGGCUGGUUGCCACUUUUUGGAGCCGAGAAGGAAUUUUCCCCUGGGAGAUUUCUCGAUCCCCAGGUUUUUUGCCUUCUCUGCACAGCCUUCUCCUUGAGCUCUGCAAGCACCUUGGCUUGCCGCUGAAGAAGAGUCAACCAGUUGGUCUUCCUCCCCCCCCCCCAAAUAAAAGAUAAAUCAAUCUGAA